UACAGAGGGUGCAAGCGUUGUUCGGAAUUAUUGGGCGUAAAGCGCGCGUAGGCGGCUUUGCAAGUCAGAUGUGAAAUCCCUCGGCUUAACCGAGGAAGUGCGUUUGAAACUGCAGAGCUUGAGUACUAAAGAGGAUGGCGGAAUUCCCGAAGUAGAGGUGAAAUUCGUAGAUAUCGGGAGGAACACCGGUGGCGAAGGCGGCCAUCUGGGUAGUCACUGACGCUGAGGCGCGAAAGCGUGGGUAUCAAACAGG
rnacentral:rRNA from 1 species